rnacentral:rRNA from 1 species
GUGCCAGCAGCCGCGGUAAUACGUAGGUGGCAAGCGUUGUCCGGAUUUAUUGGGCGUAAAGCGAGCGCAGGCGGUUCUUUAAGUCUGAUGUGAAAGCCCCCGGCUCAACCGGGGAGGGUCAUUGGAAACUGGAGAACUUGAGUGCAGAAGAGGAGAGUGGAAUUCCACGUGUAGCGGUGAAAUGCGUAGAUAUGUGGAGGAACACCAGUGGCGAAGGCGACUCUCUGGUCUGUAACUGACGCUGAGGCUCGAAAGCGUGGGGAGCAAACAG